rnacentral:rRNA from 1 species
CCUACGGGAGGCAGCAGUGGGGAAUAUUGGGCAAUGGGCGCAAGCCUGACCCAGCAACGCCGCGUGAAGGAAGAAGGCUUUCGGGUUGUAAACUUCUUUUGUCAGGGACGAAGCAAGUGACGGUACCUGACGAAUAAGCCACGGCUAACUACGUGCCAGCAGCCGCGGUAAUACGUAGGGGGCAAGCGUUAUACGGAUUUCCUGGGUGUAAAGGGCGUGUAGGCGGGACUGCAAGUCAGAUGGGAAAACCACGGGCUCAACCUGUGGCCUGCAUUUGAAACUGGAGUUCUUGAGUACGGGAGAGGCAGGCGGAAUGCCUGGUGUAGCGGUGAAAUGCGUAGAUAUUAGGAGGAACACCAGUGGCGAAGGCAGUCUGCUGGACAGCAACUGACGCUGAGGCGCGAAAGCGUGGGGAGCGAACAGGAUUAGAUACCCGGGUAGUC